rnacentral:rRNA from 1 species
GACGCUGGCGGCGUGCUUAAUACAUGCAAGUCAACUUGACUUUAGAUAGCAAUAUCGAAAGUAGGGUGGCGCACGGGUGCGUAACGCGUAGGUAAUCUGCCCUGAGGUCUGACAUAACCCGUCGAAAGGCGGGCUAACAUCAGAUGAUAUAUAAUCACGACAUCGUGGAAAUAUCAAAUCUUCGGAGCCUUGGGAUGAGCCUGCGUCUGAUUAGGUAGUUGGCGGAGUAAUAGCCCACCAAGCCUACGAUCAGUAGCUGGUCUGAGAGGAUGAUCAGCCACACUGGAACUGAGACACGGUCCAGACUCCUACGGGAGGCAGCAGUAAGGAAUAUUGCUCAAUGGGGGGAAACCCUGAAGCAGCAACGCCGCGUGAAGGAUGAAAUACUUUUGUAUGUAAACUUCUGUAAGAUGGGAAAAAUAUUCUCCUCGGGAGAAUUGAUUGUACCAUCAGAGUAAGCCCCGGCUAACUACGUG